rnacentral:rRNA from 1 species
GAUGAACGCUGGCGGCGUGCCUAAUACAUGCAAGUCGAGCGAACGGACGAGAAGCUUGCUUCUCUGAUGUUAGCGGCGGACGGGUGAGUAACACGUGGAUAACCUACCUAUAAGACUGGGAUAACUUCGGGAAACCGGAGCUAAUACCGGAUUAUAUUUUGAACCGCAUGGUUCAAAAGUGAAAGACGGUCUUGCUGUCACUUAUAGAUGGAUCCGCUCUGCAUUAGCUAGUUGGUAAGGUAACGGCUUACCAAGUCAACGAUGCAUAGCCGACCUGAGAGGGUGAUCGGCCACACUGGAACUGAGACACGGUCCCGACUCCUACGGGAGGCAGCAGUAGGGAAUCUUCCGCAAUGGGCGAAAGCCUGACGGAGCAACGCCGCGUGAGUGAUGAAGGUCUUCGGAUCGUAAAACUCUGUUAUUAGGGAAGAACAUAUGUGUAAGUAACUGUGCACAUCUUGACGGUACCUAAUCAGAAAGCCACGGCUAACUACGUG